AUCAGGGAAUGGGUCGGUGAGCUGCUGCAGUUUCAGAACUGCAGAAGAAUUAAUUUAUUCAGGCCAUAAAGAGUGACUGUUAACUGCCUUUCACAUACAUUGAUAUUACAACACUGUAAGGAUACAUUCACUUACUGUUUUAUGUAAAAAAAAAAAAAAGGUCCACCAAGUGACUUGUCUGCAGGAGGCCUGUCAGGAACGCUCGGAUGAGGACCCAAAUGCACAGCGUACACAGGUUGACGGUGAUCAAAAGGUGGUUUAUUCCGGUUAGGCAGAGACGGCGUCAGGGACAGGCAAGGUUCAUACAUGAGAGAGAUACAAUACCAGAAUCGUCGAGCGUCAGAUCGUGGUCAGGCAGGCAAGGUCGGUAACAGGCGGGUACAACACCAAGGCAGACAGAACAGGCAGGGAUAAGGCAGGCUCAGAAUCAGCAGUCCAGAAACAAGGUACGUAAAACACGGCCGGACAGGAUCAAAGAAACUGGGAGCUAUGACGGGUACACACAAACAACGAUCUGGCGGAGAACUAAGGACACAGGUGGUGGUUAAAUACAAAGUGGCUUGAUUAUUGAUAAAGUGCAGGUGUGGAUAACGACCAGGUGAAGCAGGGACAGCUGUGACAAGACAAAAACCGGAAGUAAAGCUCGAGCAGAAACAGAAACCAGGAGACUACCAAAAUAAAACAGGAAACAACUAGACACAAAACCCCGAUCGUGACAGUACCCCCCUCCCAAGGGCGGAUUCCAGAUGACCAAAAGAAAAAAACAA